rnacentral:snoRNA from 1 species
CCGCAGCCAAUUAAGCCGGUCGGGACCCCCCCGCCGUGGGGCCUCGGCGUGCACUGGCUGCGCACAGCAACUCCCCCCCGGCUGUGUAGGGUGCCCCACUCGCCCCCCCCGUGGGGCGCCCCAAGGGGCCGGGGGCACAGCC